rnacentral:lncRNA from 15 species
UUUAUUUUAUACUGAAAAACUGGAUUUAUUUUAUACUGAAAAACUGGAUUUAUUUUAUACUGAAAAACUGGAUUUAUAAAUAAAGAUUGAAUUGUCCAGAAAUAUCUUUUCAAUAAAGUUUUUUUAAAUCGUACGUUAAGUUGCGGCGUUGCUGACCUUUGACCUUCCGAGUGGAUUCCCACUAACUAACUACUCUUGUGUAAUUAGAUAAAGUGAAUUAAAGUUAGUUUGAGUUCAUUUAUAGCAGAUAAGUUUAACUGCUCAUAAACUUUAUAAGUAAACAGUAACGUCGCUGUUGGAGAGCUAACUGUAGCUAGCUGUUAGCAUCGCGGUCAGUUGAUCACCUGAGGCUGUGGUAGUCUACAGGUGUGUCUACAGGUAGUCUACAGGUGUGUCUACAGGUAGUCUACAGGUGUGUCUACAGGUAGUCUACAGGUAGUCUACAGGUAGUCUACAGGUAGUCUACAGGUGUGUCCGGACGGCAGUAAAGCAGGAUGAGCGACAGGAAGCAGAUGAAUUCAUCCAGACCAGAGCAGUUCUACCUGAGGAGCACCUCAGCACUGUCCCUGAAUGAGCGCUUCUCUCAGGUGCUGGUAGACCCUCUGACCUGCUCCAGGACGGUGACCUUUGACCCCGUCCUGCUGCAGCAGAGGAGGAGGAUGUGCAAUGCUGCGUCCGUGGUCCUGCUGGUGAAGAGAGAGACGUCCUGGCUGCCCGCGCUACAGACUGCUGAUCCGUCUGUGAGGGCAGGGCAGCGCCGGAGGAGGAGCGUCUGGACUCGACUCGGCUGGCGGCGGGCGACUCAGCGACCCCAAGGCUUCUGGAGCUUCAGGAACAAAUACAGAUGGAGAGCAGGGUUCACCUCCACCGCCAGUAGACGAGGGAACCUGCUCAGUCUGCGUCAGCGGGGCGUCCUAAUGAAGAGGAACAUCCAGAAAGUGACAGCAGGUCAGUUAAUCAAUGAACUGCCUCCAUUAUUAUUAUCAACCUUCUGUACAUUUAUUUAUUCUGGCUAAUAAUAUGGAACAAAAACCUCACUGUCAAAUCUAUCACUAUGUCUGAAUAUUGUCAUGUACACGUGUUCAGGGCGGGACUGUUAUCAAGCAUUUGAAGUGUGGAGCCGAUCGGACAAUGUACACACAAAUUUCCCGCCACCCCACAGACACGCCCCCUCACCACAGUCAACACAUAUCAUCAACAAUGUGUUUUGCAUUUUAUAAGUAAAUUUCAGCUGGAUCUGAUCAUCCUGCGAGGAGUAGAACAUGAAAGUAUAAAACGUGAUACUUCCUGUUGCCAGUAUGUGGCGCUAUCACUAUGUCUGAAUAUUGUCAUGUAGACGUGUUCAGGGUGGGACUGUUAUCAAACACGUGAAGUUUCAUUGAGAUUGGAUCAUGUACGCUGAAGUUAUGAGGACGUGUUCAGGGUGGGACUGUACAUUGAAGAUAUGAGUACUAUCUGUUUGAUGGCCAAUCGGUGGAAUUCGACACGUCGUCACGGGCACACUGUUAAACAUACAGUCAGAAAUAGCACAACUUUUAAUAACCAAUGUGUGUAGAUUGAAGUGAUCAAAUUUGAAGUCAAUCUGAUAAAAUCUGUAGGAGGAGUUAGUUAAAACAGAAGCCCUUAAAGGCCGGAAAUAGCAUCACAGUUUGACAUUCGAUUCAACCUGGCCAACUUUGAGGCCACGCCACGGACACGCCCUUCAACGUACAUGCACAAAUAGCACAACUUUUAAUCAGCACCAUUUUUUGACUGUACUCACGAAGCAGAU